GUGUAUCAUGGGGUGUAUCUGGGGUAUUUUGGGGUGUAUUUCAGGGCUCAAGGUGUGUUUCAGGGUGUAUCUGUGGGUGUUCUGGGUGUACUUUAGGAUAUGUUGGAGUACCAGGAUGUGUUUUGAGGUGUAUUUUCCGGUGCUGUGGGGU